AAACUCGAUUAUUGCGUAAUAGGGGUAAAAAUAAAUAAGCUUAUUUGAGAAAUAUUAAGAAUGGGGCCACAGUUUGGGUUUUAGCAACUGAUUGGAAAGUGAUGCCAUUCACAUUGGACACGUUUAAAUUUGAGACGCUAGUGGAACAACCAUGUAUAGACACCUACUCGGCAAUCCUGCAUAUGAUCUCAACAUCAGAAGAGAGAUGUGGGCUGAUGACACAGAACUGAGAAUAGCCAGCGUUGCCACUGGGAGUAACCAUCACAUAUGUGGCAAAAAAGGCCAUUGGCGCAGAUAUAAUCACCCAGGCGGGAUGUGUAAAAUGGAAAAAGAAGGCAACCUAGAAGCAGGAUUCAACGUAUCAGAUACAGUAAUGAAGACAAUAAGAAAUUGGAUUGAUCCAGGUCUGGAGUUUUGCCACAGAGUGAAAUGGAACAACAAUAUGCAGGAGAAGUGAGGAUACUGAAUUCUACUUGAAAAUUAUACAGAAACAAUUUCUUAGAAUGCUCACAAAAGACCUGAAAACAUGGGGAGGAAGCAGGGCAUUUACAGAUGCAGUCUUGCUCUGUUGCCAGGCUGGAGUGCAGUGGCGUGAUCUCGGCUCACUGCAACCUCCGUCUCCCAGGCUCAAGCAGUUCUCCUGCCUCAGCUUCCUGAGUAGCUGGGACUACAGCUUAUAACUCAUGCAAAACAACAUGCUGCAAUGUUCUGAUGAAAUGCUCCUCUACAGUCGAGGCUCCCAGAAGGCAGAGAGCAUAUUCAUUAACUCAUUCUGCUCAACACUUAGCUCAUGUCCAUGGAGAGAUGUUGAAUAUGAGCUCCUAUUAAAAAGAGGGAAUACAAUCAAUCAUUUGAGAAUGUCCAAAAAGAACUUUUCCUUUCCAUCGAGCCUUACAAAUUAUUCUAAGAUUGUUUCUGUAAAUACCAUGUAAUUGGGAGAGAUACACAGGGAGCGUCAAUUGUGUCUGUAAUGUUUUACUGCUUAUGAUAAAAAGAUCUGAAACUAAUGUGACAAAAUACUAAGAUUUCACAGAAUUCAGUGUUGAGUGUCCUCUAAGUUAUUAUCUUUAUUCUUCAAAUAUUUCAUAAGGAAAAAGAUGGUGGGAACUU
rnacentral:lncRNA from 1 species